GAUGAACGCUGGCGGCGUGCUUAACACAUGCAAGUCGAACGGUGAAAGAGAGCUUGCUCUCUGGAUCAGAGGCGAACGGGUGAGUAACACGUGAGCAAUCUGCCCCUGACUCUGGGAUAAGCGCUGGAAACGGCGUCUAAUACCGGAUACGAGCUGCGAAGGCAUCUUCAGCAGCUGGAAAGAACUUCGGUCAGGGAUGAGCUCGCGGCCUAUCAGCUAGUUGGUGAGGUAACGGCUCACCAAGGCGUCGACGGGUAGCCGGCCUGAGAGGGUGACCGGCCACACUGGGACUGAGACACGGCCCAGACUCCUACGGGAGGCAGCAGUGGGGAAUAUUGCACAAUGGGCGCAAGCCUGAUGCAGCAACGCCGCGUGAGGGACGACGGCCUUCGGGUUGUAAACCUCUUUUAGCAGGGAAGAAGCGAAAGUGACGGUACCUGCAGAAAAAGCACCGGCUAACUACGUGCCAGCCGCCGCGGUAAAAC
rnacentral:rRNA from 1 species